rnacentral:rRNA from 1 species
GACGAACGCUAGCGGCGUGCCUAAUACAUGCAAGUUGAGCGAUGAAGAUUGGUGCUUGCACCAAUUUGAAGAGCAGCGAACGGGUGAGUAACGCGUGGGGAAUCUGCCUUUGAGCGGGGGACAACAUUUGGAAACGAAUGCUAAUACCGCAUAACAACUUUAAACAUAAGUUUUAAGUUUGAAAGAUGCAAUUGCAUCACUCAAAGAUGAUCCCGCGUUGUAUUAGCUAGUUGGUGAGGUAAAGGCUCACCAAGGCGAUGAUACAUAGCCGACCUGAGAGGGUGAUCGGCCACAUUGGGACUGAGACACGGCCCAAACUCCUACGGGAGGCAGCAGUAGGGAAUCUUCGGCAAUGGACGAAAGUCUGACCGAGCAACGCCGCGUGAGUGAAGAAGGUUUUCGGAUCGUAAAACUCUGUUGGUAGAGAAGAACGUUGGUGAGAGUGGAAAGCUCAUCAAGUGACGGUAACUACCCAGAAAGGGACGGCUAACUACGCG